GGCGAUAUGGAGACGCCGCAAAAAGCUAAUAAAAUUGCAAUGCCCGCUCGUCCUCCCUUGUCAUUUCCCUCUAGCCCUAAUUCCCCCGCCUCCUCCCUCCCCUUCUCUCUCCCCAACUCUUCCUUCUCGAGCACAACCCACGCCGGUAAGCAUAGUCCGUCGCCCGCAACCCCACCACGCCACCGCCACCUCACCUCGAGCACAACCCAUGCCGGGAAAGACCCUGUUUCUUGUAGUGCCCUCUCCGUCUCUCCUUCCACUCACCGCGACAUAUUCGAACUUCCCCAAGCAUCUAGACCCACGAUGAUGUGGCCAGACAGCUUCCACCCCCGAGUACCGAUAUAGUGCUUUUGUAUUAAUCUUGCCAAGGUUAUUCUCUCUCCAAGCGUUAGUUAGAUGCAGUUUUCUUUUUUAUCUGGGUUUUAAUUUGUUGAUGUUGUUCCAAAUCUACUUAAUCUUCGUGGGUUUCCAAAGGGAGCAGCGCUUUACUCACUAAAUACCUGCGUGAACAUUUUAUUUGGGUUUGAUUUAAUUUUGAUUCUAAUUUAUAUUCAUUUUGGUGGUUCAAAUGUCUACCGUGCUACACUUGGAUCUGUACCUCGGUGAGGAUAGAUGGAAGGUUCAAAUGUGGGAUAUACUCUUGGAUAAAGAAGGCAAUUAUUGGGUCUUCCUCAUUCUCAUUUUAUACUUUUGUAAUAAUAGAGGGAUUAUUUUUCCUUGUAAUUUGCUAAAAUCUCUUGUGCCCCACAUUUAGAGCAUUUGAUGCUAACAA